rnacentral:rRNA from 1 species
CCCUAGUAACGGCGAGUGAAGCGGCAACAGCUCAAAUUUGAAAGCUAGCCUUCGGGUUCGCAUUGUAAUUUGUAGAGGAUGAUUUGGGGAAGCCGCCUGUCUAAGUUCCUUGGAACAGGACGUCAUAGAGGGUGAGAAUCCCGUAUGUGACAGGAAAUGGCACCCUAUGUAAAUCUCCUUCGACGAGUCGAGUUGUUUGGGAAUGCAGCUCUAAAUGGGAGGUAAAUUUCUUCUAAAGCUAAAUAUUGGCGAGAGACCGAUAGCGCACAAGUAGAGUGAUCGAAAGAUGAAAAGCACUUUGGAAAGAGAGUUAAAAAGCACGUGAAAUUGUUGAAAGGGAAGCGCUUGCAAUCAGACUUGUUUAAACUGUUCGGCCGGUCUUCUGACCGGUUUACUCAGUUUGGACAGGCCAGCAUCAGUUUCGGCGGCCGGAUAAAGGCUCUGGGAAUGUGGCCUCCACUUCGGUGGAGGUGUUAUAGCCCAGGGUGUAAUACGGCCAGCCGGGACUGAGGUCCGCGCUUCGGCUAGGAUGCUGGCGUAAUGGUUGUAA